rnacentral:tRNA from 1 species
GUCCCCGUAGCUCAAUUGGAUAGAGCAAUCCCCUCCUAAGGGAUAGGUUGGAGGUUCGAUCCCUCUCGGGGACG